UACGGAGGGCGCGAGCGUUGUUCGGAUUCACUGGGCGUAAAGGGCGCGUAGGCGGCCACCGCAAGUCAAUUGUGAAAUCUCCGGGCUUAACUCGGAAAGGUCAACUGAUACUGCGGGGCUAGAGUGCGGAAGGGGCAACUGGAAUUCUCGGUGUAGCGGUGAAAUGCGUAGAUAUCGAGAGGAACACCUGCGGCGAAGGCGGGUUGCUGGGCCGACACUGACGCUGAGGCGCGAAAGCUAGGGGAGCGAACGGG
rnacentral:rRNA from 1 species